rnacentral:rRNA from 1 species
GACGAACGCUGGCGGUGUGCUUAACACAUGCAAGUGGUGCGACGAACCAGAGCUUGCUCUGGGGCAAAGCCGCGAACGGGUGAGUAACACGUGGGUAAUCUACCCCGAUGACCGGGACAACCCGAGGAAACUCGGGCUAAUACCGGAUGUGGUGCGGAGACAUAAGUCUCUUCACUAAAGGUAGCUUCGGCUUCCGCAUUGGGAGGGGCCCGCGGCCCAUUAGCUUGUUGGUGGGGUCAAGGCCUACCAAGGCAACGAUGGGUAGCUGGUCUGAGAGGACGAUCAGCCACACUGGGACUGAGACACGGCCCAGACUCCUACGGGAGGCAGCAGUGGGGAAUCUUGCGCAAUGCGCGAAAGCGUGACGCAGCAACACCGCGUGAGGGAAGAAGGCCUUAGGGUUGUAAACCUCUUUCAGAUGGGACGAAGGUUCUCCGGUGAAUAGCCGAGAGGAUUGACGGUACCGUCGGAAGAAGCUCCGGCUAACUACGUG